ACUCCUACGGGAGGCAGCAGUGGGGAAUAUUGGACAAUGGGCGCAAGCCUGAUCCAGCCAUGCCGCGUGUGUGAAGAAGGCCUUCGGGUUGUAAAGCACUUUUGUUGGGGAAGAAAAGCCAUGGGUUAAUACCCUGUGGUUCUGACGGUACCCAAAGAAUAAGCACCGGCUAACUUCGUGCCAGCAGCCGCGGUAAUA
rnacentral:rRNA from 1 species